GGACAAUAAAUGUAAUAGUGCUGCAAUGUUGCCUAGUUUGAGCAGCAUAAUAGCCUGAGCUCCAGGAUAAUGCUUUGGUGCUGGUACAAUAGGAAUGCGCAAAACCAAAUGUCACUGCUGUAUUUUUCUUGUGUUCUGAUUGUUACUGAAUGUGGCGUGAAGCUUGAAGCCAGCGACCAUCUGAUAGCAACAAUCUUCUCCCUGGCACUAAUACAAUAUCCCUUAGGAAAUCAGGCAGCUGCAAGGGAAUGCUCUGAUGGCUUAUUUUGCAAACCUAAAAGUCCCGAGCAGCAGGGAGACCCUGGUUUUGCAGACCUGCCAUUUCUCACAGUGUUGUUUUAAUACUUGGAAGUGAGUACAUUUUUAGAAUACGCUGUCUCAGAUAAAUUAAAGCAUAAAGAAGAUUUGGCAUCAUUUUGCCUUCCAUGAAAAAUUUUAUGUAUCUAGGCCAGGCACAGAAGACACAAUCUAACAAAAGCUGGUAGAAGUACCAAGUUCUCGAAUGGGAUUAGUUUUGCCUAACUUUUGCUGGAUUAGACCCAAUAUGUAAGUUUUAAAAAGGCUUUCAUAGAAGACUACGGAAAGAUAAAGUAGAAUUUAAAAAUGUACCUAAGAAGAACAUUUAAAAAGAUUUAGAAAAGAAAAUGAGAGAAGGAUGAACUAGACAUGUCCACAGUCCCAGUCAGAGAGAUCCACAGUAUAAGGCUAUAAGCAGCUGUGAAAGAACUUGUUUUGGAAUGGAGCUACAGCACUAUGAUGGAGAUGUUUAACUGUUUCUCCCCGUGCCAGUUUCCUGACAUUAUUUAUUCAUUUAAAUUAUCUCUAUCCCACAUUUCUUCAAAAGGCAGACAACAUACAGCUGCUUCCUCUCUGCUACAUGGUCCCAUGGUGUGGAUUUUGUGAUCCAUGCUCUGAAGUCAUGCUCAGCAUCAGACAUAACAUUUUUAAAGUUACACAGAUGAGGGAGAGAGAAGACAAUUUCUGUAAUCCUGUUACACUGCUUAUCUGAUGCUUCAUCUUGUACCUAGCAAUACACUUUGAGUCUCAGUGAGAAAGGUAGAUUAUAAAUAACGUAAAUAAAA